UACGUAGGGUGCGAGCGUUGUCCGGAAUUAUUGGGCGUAAAGAGCGUGUAGGCGGCUUGUUAAGUCUUGCGUGAAAUCUCGGGGCUCAACCCCGAGCGGUCGUGAGAAACUGGCAGGCUAGAGUGCGGGAGAGGAGAGUGGAAUUCCUGGUGUAGCGGUGAAAUGCGCAGAUAUCAGGAAGAACACCCGUGGCGAAAGCGGCUCUCUGGAACGGUACUGACGCUGAGACGCGAAAGCGUGGGGAGCGAACAGG
rnacentral:rRNA from 1 species